rnacentral:rRNA from 1 species
GACGAACGCUGGCGGCGUGCCUAAUACAUGCAAGUUGAGCGCUGAAGGUUGGUCCUUGUACCAACUGGAUGAGCAGCGAACGGGUGAGUAACGCGUGGGGAAUCUGCCUUUGAGCGGGGGACAACAUUUGGAAACGAAUGCUAAUACCGCAUAAAAACUUUAAACACAAGUUUUAAGUUUGAAAGAUGCAAUUGCAUCACUCAAAGAUGAUCCCGCGUUGUAUUAGCUAGUUGGUGAGGUAAAGGCUCACCAAGGCGAUGAUACAUAGCCGACCUGAGAGGGUGAUCGGCCACAUUGGGACUGAGACACGGCCCAAACUCCUACGGGAGGCAGCAGUAGGGAAUCUUCGGCAAUGGACGAAAGUCUGACCGAGCAACGCCGCGUGAGUGAAGAAGGUUGUCGGAUCGUAAAACUCUGUUGGUAGAGAAGAACGUUGGUGAGAGUGGAAAGCUCAUCAAGUGACGGUAACUACACAGAAAGGGACGGCUAACUACGUG